rnacentral:rRNA from 1 species
GACGAAGGGGGCUAGCGUUGUUCGGAAUUACUGGGCGUAAAGCGAGUGUAGGUGGUUGUCCAAGUUGGAUGUGAAAGCCUUGAGCUUAACUCAAGAAAUGCAUUCAGGACUGGGCGACUAGAGGACCGGAGAGGAUAGUGGAAUUCCCAGUGUAGUGGUGAAAUACGUAGAGAUUGGGAAGAACACCAGUGGCGAAGGCGGCUAUCUGGACGGUUUCUGACACUAAGACUCGAAAGCGUGGGGAGCAAACAGG